rnacentral:other from 1 species
AAAACCCUGCUAUGUUCGUGGGGGCCGAUGUUUUGAGCCAACAUCUUAAUUAAGGGAGCCUGACUCUGGUUAUGGCGUGUAGGCCUUUUUUAAGGAAACAUAAAGUAAGCAGGAGGGUACCCACCUGCUGGGGCAGGUUCAAAACAACGGUGAUGGUACGGCAUGGUGGGGAGGAG